GGGGGCGUAUUUGGCUUUGACGUCUACCAUGGAACCCGAAGUGCAUACCGAGAAUGAACACACCUCGUUAAAAUUGUUCAAAAAAUUAGUUGCAGAUAAUUACAACUAUAGAUUGGCUGCUUAAAGUCAACCUGUUUAAAACUGUAGCCUACUACGGGUUUAAAUAGUCAUUAAUGUAGGAUAUACCUCAUUUUUGCCAAGAAAUGGGGAGAAUUUACUGGCUUUGCUUAGUAUGUCUUGAUCAUCAGGUUAUACUAAUGCGAGAUUAAUUGAUGAAUCUAUGUAUGUAGAUGCUAGGGGAAAGUGAUGACGGACGUGGGUUCGAAUCCCGCCGCCUCCACCA
rnacentral:tmRNA from 2 species